UACGGGGGGGGCAAGCGUUGUUCGGAAUUACUGGGCGUAAAGGGUUUGUAGGUGGCUUGUUAAGUCAGACGUGAAAUCCCUCAGCUUAACUGGGGAACUGCGUCUGAUACUGGCGAGCUUGAGUGCAGGAGAGGAACGCGGAAUUCCAGGUGUAGCGGUGAAAUGCGUAGAUAUCUGGAGGAACACCGAUGGCGAAGGCAGCCCCCUGGGAUGAGACUGACGCUCAUGUACGAAAGCGUGGGGAGCAAACAGG
rnacentral:rRNA from 1 species